rnacentral:rRNA from 1 species
UGCAGUCGAGCGAAUCUUGAGGUGCUUGCACCUCUUGGUUAGCGGCGGACGGGUGAGUAACACGUGGGCAACCUGCCUGUAAGACUGGGAUAACUUCGGGAAACCGGAGCUAAUACCGGAUAAUCCUUUUCCUCUCAUGAGGAAAAGCUGAAAGUCGGUUUACGCUGACACUUACAGAUGGGCCCGCGGCGCAUUAGCUAGUUGGUGAGGUAACGGCUCACCAAGGCGACGAUGCGUAGCCGACCUGAGAGGGUGAUCGGCCACACUGGGACUGAGACACGGCCCAGACUCCUACGGGAGGCAGCAGUAGGGAAUCUUCCGCAAUGGACGAAAGUCUGACGGAGCAACGCCGCGUGAGCGAUGAAGGCCUUCGGGUCGUAAAGCUCUGUUGUUAGGGAAGAACAAGUACCGGAGUAACUGCCGGUACCUUGACGGUACCUAACCAGAAAGCCACGGCUAACUACGUGCCAGCAGCCGCGGUAAUACGUAGGUGGCAAGCGUUGUCCGGAAUUAUUGGGCGUAAAGCGCGCGCAGGCGGUCCUUUAAGUCUGAUGUGAAAGCCCACGGCUCAACCGUGGAGGGUCAUUGGAAACUGGGGGACUUGAGUACAGAAGAGGAAAGCGGAAUUCCACGUGUAGCGGUGAAAUGCGUAGAGAUGUGGAGGAACACCAGUGGCGAAGGCGGCUUUCUGGUCUGUAACUGACGCUGAGGCGCGAAAGCGUGGGGAGCAAACGGGAUUAGAUACCCUGGUAGUCCACGCCGUAAACGAUGAGUGCUAAGUGUUAGAGGGUUUCCGCCCU